UAAAAAAGGAGCCAGUGCUCCUGUGGCUUCUGCCAGCCUUCCAUGGAUGACUGGACUCUAAAUGGGCAGUUGGUAAGGAAAAAAACAAAACAAAACAAACCCAAACCAAACCAAACCAAGUAAGAAAUCUAAAAGAGGGUAUUUUUUCAUGAUCACUCCGAUGUGGCCAUUCUGAUGCUAAUCUAAGAUACUUAAUCACAGUGUAAAGAUAUUUUCCUUCUAACUAAAAAUGUGUAAUCACCAGAUGCUUAGCCCUAGAGCUUAGUCCAACUGUGGACUACAUUCCUACUUUAAUGCCCUUUAUGUUAAUUGACCUUUAGGUUAGUGUAGACUAUUUGAAAAAUUAUAUUCGUCUUAAAAGUAUUUUAAAACGAAGGCAAUCUGGUUUCUAGGAGGGACCUUGGAGAGACACACCUGAUGAGAGUUGUACCCAUUGAGUAGCUCAAGAAAUCAUUAGAGAUGGUGUAAUCCUGGCAGGCAGUGGAAGCCAAAGAAAGAUGCUUGCUCUUGAUAAAAACAUCCAUGGGGAACUCCUUGAAGACCAGACAUAGCAUGAAGUCAUGGCACCACGAUGCGACAAAAGAAGCACAGGCUCCCAAGUGGCACUGACCCGGCUUCCAGGGCCAGUUUGGCUGCUUCUUAUGUGUGGCUUUGGAUUUGUGAGUUGGCACACGCGCACACCUGUACUUGUGUGAGCAGGAUUUCACUCUCGCCACGUGGAGGCAGAGGCCCUUUUGUUUUUGCUAUGGCCUAGUUGGGACUGCAGAUGUUCACAGCCUCAUUUAAUUUUUUACAUGGGUUUCAGGGUUUGAAUUCAGCUUCUCAGGCUUACAUGGCUAGAGCUUUUAUCUAAGGAACCAUCUUCCCAGUCCUUCCUUCCCCUUCUCUCUCCUCCCCUCCCUUCCCCUCCCCUGCCUUUCCUUCUCUUUCCCUCCCCUUCCUCUUCUCUACUCCCCUUCCCUCCCCUGCCUUCCCUUCUCCUCUCCUCCCCUUCUCUCCCCUCCUCUUCUUUCCCUUUCUGUUUUGCCCACUUUUCAAUGUGCAAAGAUGAGAUAAACCCUUGUAUAUAUUAGGCAGACAUUCUAUUGUGGAGCUACAUCCACAGCCCACAAAAGCUAAUAAAUAAAUAAAUAAAUAAAUAAAUAAAUAAAUAAAUAAAAUUUUUUAAAAAAGUAUACUGUCAUCAAAAUCUUUCCAAGAGUUCACAUUCACACAAGCACAGCGCCUACAAGGGAGGGGACCUGACCUUGUGUUCCCUCACACACCUCCUUUCCAGGUGAUCUCCUCAGCCAAGACCUGAAGCAGCUGGAAGGCCCUCGCUGGGACAUCAGUCCCAAGCUCUGGAAUGCCUCAGCCUCCAAACUGUGAGAAACAAAGAUAUUCUGUUAGGACAGCAGAAAAUGAACUGAGCCAUUUCAGUUUCAGAAGAUGGAGUAGAGGCACGGCCUGUGCUGGGACCAGCAUGACAGAAAUGUCAGGAGAUGUCUGGAAUUAAGAGAAUUACAAAGAGAAGGGGGAAACAUACGAAGAAACGCAGGAUCAAGAGUCCAAAGGCGAAAAUGCUGAAAUGAAGAUUAGAAUGCAGGAAAGUUAUAUGGAAGUGGCUUUUGGAUCAGUAUCUAUGGAUUAGUGCAAGCAGCAGGAUCAGACUGCAGUCCAACAGUGCCUCAGUGGGGACAAACGCCUCUGCCAGCUCCAAGGGAACUUUAGAGGUAAGAUGUUUUUCUCAGACGUGUCUCAAGCUGAGAUGUGAGGCCAUUGUUCUCCCGCCCAAGGGCCAGGUUUUGGAUCUGGGUACUCAUGGGAAAAGAAGAGAAAUAAUUCCUCCUGAUGAUCCACCUCUGAGCCCUUGGUAACUAAACUGCUAUGGCUAGCAAAAUCAGCGCUUCCGUCUUAAAGGUAGGCCUGUGCAGUGUAGCCAUUUCAGGACUACUACAGAAGUUGUUUUGUGAGUGGUAAGAUACCUACACACACUGUGGCACAUAUGGAGAUAUCUCGUUGGCCCAUAGUAUGCUUUUUUUAAAUAGGGCAGAGAUCUAUUUAUGGUCCUAAGAGACUACUGAGGCCAAUGAGUUUGAGAAGAAUGUUAAUAUCAAGACAACAGAAGAUACUAAUGAAGCAAGAGAAUCCUGUUGGAGACAACAAAGAACACUUCUGCAAGGAAGGGCCGGUUAUGGCAACUGCAAUCAGCUCUAAGGGUCUACCAUCAAAUGGUUACCCAUUUGGUGAUGAUAAUCAAGUUCUACAGCGAAUCACUUGGACACCAAUAAAAAGUCAAAGGACCAAAAUGGAUGCAUUGAGUAUCUUAAAACUUGAUCAUAUUAAUACAUUUAAAA
rnacentral:lncRNA from 1 species